AUUGAACGCUGGCGGCAUGCUUUACACAUGCAAGUCGAACGGUAACAGGUUAAGCUGACGAGUGGCGAACGGGUGAGUAAUGCAUCGGAACGUGCCCGGUCGUGGGGGAUAACGCAGCGAAAGCUGCGCUAAUACCGCAUACGAUCUGAGGAUGAAAGCGGGGGACCGUAAGGCCUCGCGCGAUUGGAGCGGCCGAUGUCAGAUUAGGUAGUUGGUGGGGUAAAGGCUCACCAAGCCGACGAUCUGUAGCUGGUCUGAGAGGACGACCAGCCACACUGAGACUGGGACCCGGCCCAGACUCCUACGGGGAGCAGCAGUGGGGAAUUUUGGACAAUGGGCGCAAGCCUGAUCCAGCAAUGCCGAGUGCAGGAAGAAGGCCUUCGGGUUGUAAACUGCUUUUGUACGGAACGAAACGGUCCUGGUUAAUACCCGGGGCUAAUGACGGUACCGUAAGAAUAAGCACCGGCUAACUACGUGCCAGCCGCCGCGGUAA
rnacentral:rRNA from 1 species